GUUUGAUCCUGGCUCAGAUUGAACGCUGGCGGCAGGCUUAACACAUGCAAGUCGAGCGGGGAGAUGUAGCUUGCUACAUUUCCUAGCGGCGGACGGGUGAGUAAUGCUUAGGAAUCUGCCUAUUAGUGGGGGACAACAUUCCGAAAGGAAUGCUAAUACCGCAUACGUCCUACGGGAGAAAGCAGGGGAUCUUCGGACCUUGCGCUAAUAGAUGAGCCUAAGUCAGAUUAGCUAGUUGGUGGGGUAAAGGCCUACCAAGGCGACGAUCUGUAGCGGGUCUGAGAGGAUGAUCCGCCACACUGGGACUGAGACACGGCCCAGACUCCUACGGGAGGCAGCAGUGGGGAAUAUUGGACAAUGGGCGCAAGCCUGAUCCAGCCAUGCCGCGUGUGUGAAGAAGGCCUUUUGGUUGUAAAGCACUUUAAGCGAGGAGGAGGCUACUUGGAUUAAUACUCUAGGAUAGUGGACGUUACUCGCAGAAUAAGCACCGGCUAACUCUGUGCCAGCAGCCGCGGUAAUACAGAGGGUGCGAGCGUUAAUCGGAUUUACUGGGCGUAAAGCGUGCGUAGGCGGCUUUUUAAGUCGGAUGUGAAAUCCCUGAGCUUAACUUAGGAAUUGCAUUCGAUACUGGGAAGCUAGAGUAUGGGAGAGGAUGGUAGAAUUCCAGGUGUAGCGGUGAAAUGCGUAGAGAUCUGGAGGAAUACCGAUGGCGAAGGCAGCCAUCUGGCCUAAUACUGACGCUGAGGUACGAAAGCAUGGGGAGCAAACAGGAUUAGAUACCCUGGUAGUCCAUGCCGUAAACGAUGUCUACUAGCCGUUGGGGCCUUUGAGGCUUUAGUGGCGCAGCUAACGCGAUAAGUAGACCGCCUGGGGAGUACGGUC
rnacentral:rRNA from 1 species